rnacentral:misc_RNA from 1 species
AACGCACAUUGCGCCCCUUGGUAUUCCGAGGGGCAUGCCUGUUCGAGCGUCAUAUCACCAAUCAAGCCUGGCUUGGUAUUGGGGUCCGCUUUGCGGCGGCCUCUAAACUCAGUGGCGGUGCCGUUAGGCUCUCAGCGUAGUAAUUAUUCUCGCUACAGGGUCUUGCGGUUACUUGCCAUAACCCCAACUUCUUAAGGUUGACCUCGGAUCAGGUAGGGAUACCCGCUGAACUUAA